AAUGAAGACCAACACCACCUAUGGGCAUUCCUUUUCAUUCAAGAGUAAACGUCACUGAAUUGCUUACUUAUAACUCCCUGUUCAUCUUUACGUUUUUCGUAGCUUUAAAUAAUGUAUUACUUAGUUUUGCAAGUUUUCAUAAUUUAAAUAAAUGGAUUCAUGCUGUUUGUAUUUUUGUGAGACUUCUUUUUUGGCUCAAUGUUAGGUUUUCGAAUUCAUGUUAUAUAUCAUCUAUUUUAAUUGCUAUAUAAUAUUCCUUUAUGUGAAUAUUCCACAAUGAAUUAUUCAAUCUUUUGUUGAUGUACAGCUAAGGACUUUUUUUAAAAAAAUGUUUUGUUGUGUUGUGUUUUUGUUUUUUCCCAUUACAAGUUAUACUGCUACAAGCAUUCUUGUGCAUGUCUCCUGUUUUGUGUUAUUCCGUGAUGUACAUGUUGAGCAGAAUUGCUGGACCAUAAGGUAUUUAAUUCAACAAGUUUUUUUCUGUGUCAGGCAAUAUUUUAUACUCUAAGCACACAUACAUAAAAAGAACAGGCAGGAGUCUCUGACUUCAUGUGCUUAUGUACUAGUAAAGGGAAACAGGCAAAAUAAAUAUAUAAAUUAUAUCUGUUGGAAAGUGAUAAGUUUUAUGGAGAAAAAUGAAGUUGGGAGGAAAUAGGAAGUGUCUGGGCAGUUUCUAAUGUUACAUAGGGUGGUCAGAAAGAGUAACGUGGUGAGCACGUGACAUGUGAACAAAAACUUGAAGGAGAUGAGGCAGAAGUCAUGUGGAUAUCAGAGGAAGAGUGUUCCACAGUGUGCACAUUUUAA
rnacentral:lncRNA from 1 species